rnacentral:rRNA from 2 species
GGCAGCACGGACUUCGGUCUGGUGGCGAGUGGCGAACGGGUGAGUAAUACAUCGGAACGUGCCCUGUUGUGGGGGAUAACUAGUCGAAAGAUUAGCUAAUACCGCAUACGACCUGAGGGUGAAAGCGGGGGACCGUAAGGCCUCGCGCAAUAGGAGCGGCCGAUGUCUGAUUAGCUAGUUGGUGGGGUAAAGGCCCACCAAGGCGACGAUCAGUAGCUGGUCUGAGAGGACGAUCAGCCACACUGGGACUGAGACACGGCCCAGACUCCUACGGGAGGCAGCAGUGGGGAAUUUUGGACAAUGGGGGCAACCCUGAUCCAGCAAUGCCGCGUGUGUGAAGAAGGCCUUCGGGUUGUAAAGCACUUUUGUCCGGAAAGAAAUGGCGCUGGCUAAUACCCGGCGUUGAUGACGGUACCGGAAGAAUAAGCACCGGCUAACUACGUGCCAGCAGCCGCGGUAAUACGUAGGGUGCGAGCGUUAAUCGGAAUUACUGGGCGUAAAGCGUGCGCAGGCGGUUUGGUAAGACAGGCGUGAAAUCCCCGAGCUCAACUUGGGAAUGGCGCUUGUGACUGCCAGGCUAGAGUAUGUCAGAGGGGGGUAGAAUUCCACGUGUAGCAGUG